CACCCCAGUCUCUAUCACGGUGGUUCUCAAACUAUUUGGUCCCAGGACCCCUUUAUACUCUUAAAAACUAUUGAGGACCCCCAAAAGCCUUUGUUUAUUUGGCCUAUAUUUAGGUGGGCUGUCAAUAUUUACCAUAUUACACACAUUCCAGUACAUACCAGAAAAGACAUCAUCACGUGUCACGUAGCCUUUGGAAAACACCACUGUGUAUUCACGAGAGAUUGAGAGUGACGAUGGCAGGUAAGAUCUUAAGAUUUUUGUGAAAAUAGUUUUGACCUCCCAGGCCUCCUGUGUCUCAGAAACCCCCAAUUGUCUAUGGAUCACACUUAGACCAUCACUGACCUAACAAAUGACUAUAUUUAUUAUCUUGUCUGGCAUCAGGUUUACCCCUCUAUUCAUUUGUUUACUUGGUCUCCUCCACCUGAAUGUAAGUUCCGUGAGAGCAACAAUUGGGUCUUUUUCACGCUACCAGCCACAGUUUCUAUAACAAUGCCUGGGAUAUAAUGUGUGUACAAAACAAUCCUGGCUAUUCCUCAGGCACUGAUAAUGAUCUCAAAACAAGAGCGUGGCAGAAAUUUCUCCUUCCCGCGGCUGGUCUCACUGAUUGAACUCAACCAGGGUCCAAGCCAUUCCGUGCUGACUAGGGUUGACUAGAAUCGAUCAUUACUUAAUCUCAACCCCAGUGUGAAACCAAGAAGAGAAUUACUAGAGCCAGAAGAUGAACUCACUAAGAUCUAUUUUUUUAGAAGCUUUUUAAAAAGCCAAUUUUAUAGGAUAUUUCCUGGCCGGCAUAUCCUUCCUACCCUACAUACAUUCCUCCCUCCAGAAUGUCCCUCUGUCCCCUGCCCCCCGCAGAUCUACAAUACAGGCAGGUCACCCUGCCUCUGUCUUGUCUCCUUCUUGUCAACCAACAUUGUACAAUGUUGAUUUUUUUUUUUAAUUCAGGAAGGACAUGUACUUUCAUCACUGUGCUCCAUGAAUCAGCACAUGUGAGUUUUGCUCCAUACACUCAGGAUGCAAGAAAUGCCACAUUGAUUUUCUAGCCACUCUCCUUCCUGUCUGGUGGGAUAUUCUGCACCACGUGUUUCUGUCACUUGUUCCCCCAAGGCAAGCCCACCAGUGGUCAUCGUCAAGAAGAGCCAUGUCUCCAGGGGUGCAGGGACACUAGGAAGCAGAUUUGAAGGACAGAUGGGGUUUGAGAGGAAAACGGAAGAAAGAUGUACAACCUGCCCCUUCGUAAUGAAGAAAAAGGAGUCUCUUCAUGAGGCAGGACAUGCCCACGGCAGAUGAUCAGGAAGGAGGGAUAUUCUUCACAGGAGUUUAAGCUCCAGCCUCACAGUCUUACAUGGACGGUUUAGCUGCCUUCUGCAAGUAUAUCAGAUAAAAUCCCUACGACAAGUCUGUAUAUAACAUCUGGACACACAAGAAAUGGGGGAUAGUAAUCGAACCCAGAGAAGGGCAGAAGCAGGGUGACUCAGAGGGGAA